AACAAACGCUGGCGGCGUGUCUUAAGCAUGCAAGUUGAGCGGCAAGGAGGAGAGAUCCUCCCUAGAGCAGCGGACUGGUGAGUAACGCGCGGGUAAUCUAUCUUAGGCAUGGGGAUAGUCACUAGAAAUAGUGGGUAAUACCGAAUAAGUUCCAUAAGGGGAGGACUUAUGGAAGAAAGGUGCUACGGCACUGGCCUUAGGUGAGCUCGCGUCCCAUUAGCUAGUUGGUGAGGUAAAGGCCCACCAAGGCGAUGAUGGGUAGCCGGCCUGAGAGGGUGUACGGCCACACUGGGACUGAGAUACGGCCCAGACUCCUACGGGAGGCAGCAGCUAAGAAUAUUCCGCAAUGGACGGAAGUCUGACGGAGCGACGCCGCGUGGAUGAAGAAGGCCGAAAGGUUGUAAAGUUCUUUUGCUAGGGGAGAAUAAGUGUGGGAGGGAAUGCCUGCACGAUGACAAGGACUAGCGAAUAAGUCCCGGCCAACUACGUGCCAGCAGCCG
rnacentral:rRNA from 1 species